rnacentral:rRNA from 1 species
AGUGAACGCUGGCGGUAGGCCUAACACAUGCAAGUCGAACGGCAGCACAGUAAGAGCUUGCUCUUACGGGUGGCGAGUGGCGGACGGGUGAGGAAUACAUCGGAAUCUACUUUUUCGUGGGGGAUAACGUAGGGAAACUUACGCUAAUACCGCAUACGACCUACGGGUGAAAGCAGGGGAUCUUCGGACCUUGCGCGAUUGAAUGAGCCGAUGUCGGAUUAGCUAGUUGGCGGGGUAAAGGCCCACCAAGGCGACGAUCCGUAGCUGGUCUGGGAGGAUAAUCAGCCACACUGGAACUGAGACACGGUCCAGACUCCUACGGGAGGCAGCAGUGGGGAAUAUUGGACAAUGGGCGCAAGCCUGAUCCAGCCAUACCGCGUGGGUGAAGAAGGCCUUCGGGUUGUAAAGCCCUUUUGUUGGGAAAGAAAAGCAGCAGGUUAAUACCCCGCUGUUCUGACGGUACCCAAAGAAUAAGCACCGGCUAACUUCGUG